UACGUAGGGGGCAAGCGUUGUCCGGAUUUACUGGGUGUAAAGGGCGUGCAGCCGGGCUGACAAGUCAGAUGUGAAAUCCCGCGGCUCAACCGCGGAACUGCAUUUGAAACUGUCAGUCUUGAGUACCGGAGAGGUCAUCGGAAUUCCUUGUGUAGCGGUGAAAUGCGUAGAUAUAAGGAAGAACACCAGUGGCGAAGGCGGAUGACUGGACGGCAACUGACGGUGAGGCGCGAAAGCGUGGGGAGCGAACAGG
rnacentral:rRNA from 1 species